GCUGCCUAUAGAUAACACUCAUAGAUAAGCAAUUCUCAGGCAUGUCUACAAAAAAUAUCCUGAUCCCAAAAAGGGAUAUAUACAUGGAACUCCUACUACAGAAGACUAAUGAUUUAAUUUCUGAUAUCAUUUAUAUUCUAAUGACAAAGUGGAAUAAGCAGAACAAGAGAAGACACAUGGGAUAAAGAGUCAUUGAAGCAGUCAGAGGAUCAUCAUCAUCAUUUAAUGUCCACUUUCC